rnacentral:rRNA from 1 species
UCUUGGUCAUUUAGAGGAAGUAAAAGUUGUAACAAGGUCUCCGUUGGUGRACCAGCGGAGGGAUCAUU